GGGUGUUCGCCUUACGAGCUUGGCGGGCAGGGUUCCAGCGCUGGUCGGGCCGCCAGCG
rnacentral:ncRNA from 2 species